rnacentral:rRNA from 1 species
CCUACGGGAGGCAGCAGUGAGGAAUAUUGGUCAAUGGACGAGAGUCUGAACCAGCCAAGUAGCGUGAAGGAUGACUGCCCUAUGGGUUGUAAACUUCUUUUAUAAAGGAAUAAAGUGAGGCACGUGUGCCUUUUUGUAUGUACUUUAUGAAUAAGGAUCGGCUAACUCCGUGCCAGCAGCCGCGGUAAUACGGAGGAUCCGAGCGUUAUCCGGAUUUAUUGGGUUUAAAGGGAGCGUAGAUGGGCUGUUAAGUCAGUUGUGAAAGGGUGCGGCUCAACCGUAAAAUUGCAAUUGAUACUGGCAGUCUUGAGUAUAGUUGAGGUAGGCGGAAUUCGUGGUGUAGCGGUGAAAUGCGUAGAGAUCACGAAGAACACCGAUUGCGAAGGCAGCUUACUAAACUGCCACUGACAUUGAUGCUCGAAAGUGUGGGUAGCAAACAGGAUUAGAUACCCCUGUAGUC